rnacentral:rRNA from 1 species
CCUACGGGAGGCAGCAGUGGGGAAUAUUGCACAAUGGGCGAAAGCCUGAUGCAGCGACGCCGCGUGAGGGAUGACGGCCUUCGGGUUGUAAACCUCUUUCAGUAGGGAAGAAGCCGCAAGGUGACGGUACCUGCAGAAGAAGCGCCGGCUAACUACGUGCCAGCAGCCGCGGUAAU